GACGAACGCUGGCGGCGUGCUUAACGCAUGCAAGUCGAACGGAAAGGCCCUGCUUUUGUGGGGUGCCCGAGUGGCGAACGGGUGAGUAACACGUGAGUAACCUGCCCUUGACUUUGGGAUAACUUCAGGAAACUGGGGCUAAUACCGGAUAGGAGCUCCUGCUGCAUGGUGGGGGUUGGAAAGUUUCGGCGGUUGGGGAUGGACUCGCGGCUUAUCAGCUUGUUGGUGGGGUAGUGGCUUACCAAGGCUUUGACGGGUAGCCGGCCUGAGAGGGUGACCGGCCACAUUGGGACUGAGAUACGGCCCAGACUCCUACGGGAGGCAGCAGUGGGGAAUAUUGCACAAUGGGCGGAAGCCUGAUGCAGCAACGCCGCGUGCGGGAUGACGGCCUUCGGGUUGUAAACCGCUUUCGCCUGUGACGAAGCGUGAGUGACGGUAAUGGGUAAAGAAGCACCGGCUAACUACGUG
rnacentral:rRNA from 1 species